ACAAUCAAGUAACCUUUAGGGAACUUUCCUUGUCAGGGAAGAAGGUUUCCCAGAGACUAUGGGUUGAGGAGGAAUUGGAAGUUUGUCGGCUUAGACCUGUUGUCAUUCCAUCAGUGUUAAACUUCCCGGCUCAUCUUGGAAGAGUACGUGCCAGAAAGACCACGACCAAGCAGCCUUGAGAUCUUAGGCAGCGUCUCCCUCAGCAACCACUGGAACACAUCUCCAAAGUUCUGCUGGGCCAGCUCAGCUUCCCCUCAGAAGAAGUGCCGCCACCUGCCAGAUGAAGGAGCCUUUUGAGAGGCAGCUGGCAUCGUGAUUGGACUGUACUUUGGUCUGUUCCAAUCCAGCUUCAGCUCCAGAGACGGCAGGCGGGACGAGUCAACGGAGGCUGGGUGGACGAAGGCAUGCAG
ensembl:lncRNA